GCCAGACUCCUACGGGAGGCAGCAGUGGGGAAUUUUGCGCAAUGGGGGAAACCCUGACGCAGCAACGCCGCGUGAUUGAUGAAGCCCUUCGGGGUGUAAAGAUCUGUCAGUGGGGACGAAACUUGACGGUACCUGAGGAGGAAGCCACGGCUAACUACGUGCCAGCAGCCGCGGUAAUACGUAGGUGGCGAGCGUUGUCCGGAUUUACUGGGCGUAAAGGGAGCGUAGGCGGACUUUUAAGUGAGAUGUGAAAUACUCGGGCUCAACUUGAGUGCUGCAUUUCAAACUGGAAGUCUAGAGUGCAGGAGAGGAGAAUGGAAUUCCUAGUGUAGCGGUGAAAUGCGUAGAGAUUAGGAAGAACACCAGUGGCGAAGGCGAUUCUCUGGACUGUAACUGACGCUGAGGCUCGAAAGCGUGGGGAGCAAACAGGAUUAGAUACCCCGGUACA
rnacentral:rRNA from 1 species